rnacentral:rRNA from 1 species
CUUGGUGAGGAUAGUUUAGGGGGUACACCCAGUAACAUUUCGAACCUGGAAGUUAAGUCCUGUAACGCCGAAUGUACUUGUCUGGUAACGGAUCGGGAGAAUAGGUACUUGCCAAGC